rnacentral:lncRNA from 1 species
GGGCUCCAAGCCUUGUCUAUGACCUACACCAAGCUCAUGGCAAUGCUGGAUCCUUUACCCACUGAGUGGGUCCAGGGAUUGAACCUGCAUCCUCAUGGGUAGUAAUGGGAUUUGUUUCUGCUAAUAGGAUGGGAACUGCUAUUUAAUUUUCUAUAUCUGUUUCCUUCUAUUAAAAUGUUGUUCCAUGAUGACAGAAUUUUUUGUGUAUUUUUCUCUGUUGUAUCCUAGCAUCUAAAAUACUCCUUUGCACAUAGUAGAUAUCAGUAACUAUUUAUUGAAUGAGCUAUUUGUCCUUGGGAGAAAUCAAGCAUCUAGAUUAGGGUAUUCCUGAGGCUAGGAAGAAAGGUAUGGAAUUUUACCACCUCCAUCCCUAGCGGGCCAGAUAGGAGGAAAUAGGGCUGAUGCUUCUGAAAAAGGAUUAGGUGAUGGUGCUUAUUGUCCUGUGCUACGCUGUCCUGUAAUUACAACCAGUGUUACAUGAAAGGACAGGGGCAGCCCUCUGACACAACUUGACAGUGAGCCCUGGGUCUAGAGCUGAACUGGUCCUGAGUCCAGGAAAUACUGGCCUGUCAUUCUUUAAGCACAUGUUACAGGAUAACAAAUCAUGCCAAACAAGUUAUAUAAGGAACAGGUUCAUUUUGGAGAUUCUGUGUUUCCAGUGAGAGAUUUUGUUGUUGUUUUAUUUUUGCAAAGCUUAUUAAUUUGGUUUCUGGGUUUUUAUAAUUUCACCUUUUAUUUCCCAAAUGCAUCAUUUAAAAAAAUUAAUUCCUUUUUAGUCUUUCAAAAAAUAAUUGAAGGCUAGAUUUGAGAUUUAGGGAUGUAACAAUAAUUCUAGUUCUUACCUCGAAUAGAGAUUUUAUUUUUUAUUUGUUAGGAUUCCUUUCUGCUGUCAUAUAUUUAUCAAAAAGAUAUGAAAGAAAAGCUUUUCCAUAUGGAUAAAAUAUAUCACUUCUGUAUCAAUAGCUGAAAGGAAUGGAUACAGUAGUGUCCUGGAGAGUUAGUUUAAAAUUCGUCUUCUUUAAUGAAAAAUGUUAUGGUACAAAAUCACAACUAUUAGGUUUCCACUUCUUUCACUUCUGCUUCAUAAAAAGAGAAUUGUUUAGAGGUAUGUUUAUGUCCCAUGAGAUUAUGCCUUAGGCCAUGUGAUUGUCCUGAACAAAGCAUAAGCUCUGAUAAUUCCUAAUAAAUUAUUACAUUUUACACAUCUCUUCCUGUCUUUUCUCUGAAGCAUUUAUCCAAGAAAACUGAAAAUAACAGAAUUGUGGGAAGACAUUUUUCUAAUAAAUUUGUUGACAGUUGAUUUGUUGUGAUUAGAAGAAAACCUCAGGAGUAGAGGGUUUGGGACCGAAAACUGACUUUCUGCCUCUACUGCCAGACACUACCUCCUUCUGCCCUUUUCCCCUCUCCUUGAGAGUUCCUCUGAGAGAAAUCAUGUGACCCUGUCACCACAGUUUUUGAUGCCAAAUAUCUAAGUGUCUUUAAGAUGCAGAACAACACUUUUAAAGGCAAAUAGUGAAGUAGUUUCAUCUGACAUUUCCAUUAUAGCUGCUCUUAGUGGAUUCUAGACAUCAUACAUAAAGGUAGCUAGCCAACUCAUUUAAAAAAUCAUAAUGCAAACCCAUCGAGCUGUCUUUUCAUAUUUGAUGCUCCAUCCAUUGAACAUGAAACACAUUUUUUUCUUAGAAAUGUGAUUUGAUAUUGGGAUAUCUACAGUACUCUGGAUUAGAUUUUUCUAGCGUUGGUUUUAUAUUUUAGAGGAUACAGCCAUUUCUCCUAGUUUUGUGACAUACCUAAGUAUUUCUGAGGUAUGUCAAUUACUUUGUUAUUUGCAGCACUCUGAGUCCAAACUGAAAAAAAAAAAUGUUAAAUUGCCACCACUAUUGUAGUUACCGUCAAAUUAUUUUUUUAUGUAGAGGUGAAAAUUGUAUUCUCAGAUAUUGUAUAUACUGUUUGUUUUUGCAUCUUAAAAUUUUUAUUAAAUCCAUUUUUAUUCAUUCAUUAAAUAUUUAACAAACACCUAUUAUGGGCUAGGAAUAGUGUAUGUAUUAUGACUUCAGUGCAAACAUGAACGAGAUUCAGUCCCUGUCUUUGAAGUGCUCACAGUCCAGAGGAAAAGACAGAUAGGUAAACAGAAAAAUUAUCACAGUUAUAGCAAUAAUAAAUUGCUUCUAGAGAGCUAUUGAAGGUCUCUGAUAUGCAGUGUGUGCAUAUACCACAUUUUACCAACUGAGCCACAGGAAUGGACUACCAGAAUGUCUUCAGCUUCCCACCACCACAGCUGUGCUUCAAAGAUCACUUUUGGAUUUAUUCCCUUCUGGAGCUGAAUGAGAAUUUCUUUGGAAUAUAUACUCAGAGGUGGAAGUGUGAGGUCUUAGAAUGUACAUAUACUAGAUUUAACCAAAUGCUGCCAGAUUCUUCCCUGGAGUGGCUGUAUCAGUCUUCAUCUCCACAGAUGUAUUCCUAUGUCCUACAUCUCUGUCAACACUUGGCAUCCUUCAGCAUGCUAAUUUUUGUUGGUCUGAGAAGUGUAACAUGCUUCCUCAUUGUUUUCAUUUGCAUUUCUUUCAUCGCUAACAAAUUUGAGCAUUUGCUUACAUUCUCGUUAGCCUUUGGGUUCUUUCUUCCAGAAAAAUAAAGAUAUUUUGUUCUCGUUGUUGGGGUCGCUGUCCUCUUGACUUGCAGUUACUUUCAUAUGCUCUAGAAUUCAGGUCACUUGUCACUCUUAGGCAUUGCAAAUGCCUUCUGCUAUUGCCAUCUUUGUUGUGAGUUUGUGAAAUUAUUUGUAUAUUUUAUUGCAUAUUGCCCUUAUUUUAUAAAAACUAGUGGGAAAUUAAAAUAUAAAAGUGCUAGUAUUAGCAAAAAGAUAUGUAGGUCUCAUAAACUAAUACAGUUGGGAUAAAGAUGGAAAAGUAUUGGCCUUGCCCAAAAUAAUGCAUCUUUAUUCUCAGUUUGACCUUCAUUUCUCUUGAUAAAUGAAGGAAAAGAUUAAGGCUAAAAUAACACCUGUAAAAUGCUGAAAAUAUAUCUUUGAAGAGCCUGAUAGACUGAAUGUAAUUGUAGAACCAGAACUUCCCUUAUAACAUGAAAUUUCCUUGUUUGACCUGUGUACAGUCAGCCUUUGUUCACAUUUUUAGGAACAAAUUAUGCACCCAAAGUCAGGAGUUCUGUCUAAGAGACUGGUUACAAGGGCAUUGCUAAAUAAAAUCCACCACUUUAGGGCACUGACCAAUUCCAACUAUAGUGUGUUUGUAAAAUUGUAUUUGGUUUCUGGUAAGGAAGGUAGAAAAGAAGAGGACUAAGAAAAGAGUAUAGAGGAUAAUUAUUUUAUUCUAUGGGGGAAAUUUUGGGGUCCUCUUCUUCAAAGGUUUUAAAUUAGUAUAAGGAAAGGAAGUUGGAUUUCUAUGAGAACAAAGAUGGUAAAAAUUAACAAAGACUUCCUGUAAGAUUUGCUUAAAGAGCUUUGAUAAGGUGAAUAAACAAUAUGUAGUUCUUCCUUUCUGUCUUUAACCCUUAUGUUAACUUCUUUAUCCUCACCAUUAGCCUUAUGCAAAAAAAGUUUCAGGUCUCUCCUAUCUUAGAAAAAAAAUUCCCUUGACCUUGCGUUCCUUUUAGCUACCAUGCUAAUUCUUUACCACCAAGGUGAGCUGCAUUUAUCAAAAACAUAAUCUACACUUGGUACUGACACUUUCUGACUUUCUAGUUGCUCUUCCUUUAAAAAAAAAAAAUCUCUUUGAUCAUGUUAAAAUAACUAUUUUAUUAGCUUUACUAAAUUAUUCUCAUUUUGGCCUCUUGUCUUACCAGACUUUUUCUGUACUUUCAGUAUUCCUGAAUAAGCACUCUUUUUGAAAUGUUCUUCUUCCUUGACUUUUCUCUUCUGAUUCUUUUUGUACUUGUUGGUGUUCUUUACUUUCAUCCUGGGCUUUCCCAAAAUAUUUCUACUCACCAAAUGUUGAUAUUCUUCAAGUUUAUUUUUCACUGUGUUCUUCUCUACAAAGAUAUGAUCCCAUAUAUUUUCAUGAUUGUAACUAUUACCAAACUGUAUUUCCAGUUUUACCCUUCCCUUUCCUCCCUAUAUUCAGUGGCUUGCUGGAUAUAUGCAUUUAGGUGCCCCAAACUAAGCUUAUCUAAACCUGGACUCGUUACUUUUCCCUCAAUACUCGUUUCUCUCCAUGAAUUCCUGAGUCACUUAGUGACACCACCUUUUUCCUGGUCAUUCAAACAGGAAAUCAAGCCUCCUCUCCUUCAACUAUUUGUCUGACUAGAGACCAGGAAUUCCUUUUUUAGCUCCUAAAUAUUUUAAAAAUCAGUAUUCUCUCUAUCCCUACUACCAUACAUAGUUAGGGUCCUCAUUAUUCAUUCACUUUUUCAUACAACAAGUAUAUAUUAGAUAACUACUACAUGCCAGGUUUUGCAUGCUAGGUACUGAAGUCAUGGGUGGGGGGUGGGGGGACACUGAGACAGCAAAGUCCCUGCCCCAUGGAGCUUUUAUUAACAUGUGAGAGAUAGUAAACAAAUAAAUAUAUAACAUAUGAUAAAAUGUUACAGAGCAGUGACAUUCUUUUGUUACUGAGUGGUAGUUUAGGUAAUUUGCAGGUUUAGUUUUUUUAGGAUGUAAAUAAAAUCUCUCUUGAAGAUUCAAUCUAUAAUUAAAAUAAGUGCCAGAAAAUGCCAUAUUAUAACUAUUUCUCUUUUAGAUAUGCAAGACAUAAAUUUACUUAAAAUUGUUUGUAAGUCUAAACAGUUGUUUCCUUUACAUUAUUGAUAUGUAUUCCUUUAAAUAAUCAUUUGAUUAUAUAGAUACAUUAUUUUAUCUGGUGGCUUUUUCUUUAAACUCUCUGUAGAAAAUUUCCCAGAAGUGGAAAUAUAUACUCCCUCUCAAGAGUAUUUAUAAUUUUCUUUCAAUAUUUUUUCAGUCCAUUCUCUGAAAUAUCUAUGUAAAAUUUUUGUAGAUGUCUUUAAAGUGGUGUGACUUUUUUUAGAAAAUAGCAAACUAUAGCUAUUGAGUGAGUGAGCCCUGGAGUACUCAAAUUCUAUCUCAGCAUUUAAUAGGAAGGGUAUAUAUCUGGGUAUCUUUAUGCCCACACUAUGCUAUUCUUUGACUUGCUACUGUUGGUGAUGAAUCAGUCAAUGCUUUUCUAAAACCAGUAGCUGAACUGUAACUAACACUUCUUGUUGGGGUAGGGGUGGAGGGGCAGAACAUUGAUCUAGGCUUGCCAGGUGAGUUAACUACCAUCACACCUGUCCCACAGUCAGUAAAGUUCUGCUAGAGGAUGGUACUAGGUCUUUUUUGACCUCUGAACACAAACCUGAGUCUUCCCCCUAAUGUCCACAUCUUUAAAGACUUCAGCAGCUCUAGGAGUUCCCAUCAUGGCGCAGCGGAAACGAAUCCAACUAGGAACCACGAGGUUGUGGGUUUGAUCCCUGGCCUUGCUCAGUGGGUUAAUAAGGAUCUGAUGUUGCUGUGAACUAUGGUGUAAGUCAUAGAUGCAGCUUAGAUCUGGCAUUGCUGUGGCUAGGGCGUAGGCUGGCAGCUACAGCUCCAAUUCGACCCCUAGCCUGGGAACUUCCACAUGCUGUGGAUGUGGCCUAAAACAAGACAAAAGACCAAAAAAAUAAAAUAAAAUAAAAUAAGACUUUAGCAGUUCUAAUGAAGAUGAACCUGGCAGUCUGAAGUGAGAAAAAAAAAAAAAAA